UGAGGAAUAUUGGUCAAUGGGCGGGAGCCUGAACCAGCCAAGCCGCGUGACGGAAGAAGGCGCUAAGCGUCGUAAACGUCUUUUGCCGGGGAACAAAGGCGCGGACGCGUCCGCGUGUGAGUGUACCCGGAGAAAAGCAUCGGCUAACUCCGUGCCAGCAGCCGCGGUAAUACGGAGGAUGCGAGCGUUAUCCGGGAUUUAUUGGGUUUAAAGGGUGCGUAGGCGGCCCGUUAAGUCAGCGGUAAAAGCCCGGGGCUCAACCCCGACGAGCCGUUGAAACUGGGGGGUCUAGAGACGGCGAGAAGUACGCGGAAUGCGCGGUGUAGCGGUGAAAUGCAUAGAUAUCGCGCAGAACUCCGAUUGCGAAGGCAGCGUACCGGCGCCGGACUGACGCUGAGGCACGAAAGCGUGGGUAUCGAACAGGAUUAGAUACC
rnacentral:rRNA from 1 species